GUCUAUAGCCACACUACCCUGAGUGCACCCGAUCUUCUCUGACCUUGGAAGCUAAGAAGAGUCGGGCCUGGAUAGUACUUGGCUGGGAGAAAUCCCUACGCUGCAGAGU
rnacentral:rRNA from 1 species